GGGGGGAGCGCCGGAUCUUGGGCUGUGUCUCCCAGCGCCCUGGGCUCUGGGGCCUGCACCACUGGAAUCGCGCUCCUGCGGCUGCACAGCCCCCC
rnacentral:pre_miRNA from 1 species